GGCCCCGUCGUCCAACGGUUAGGACACAGGAUUUUCGAUCCUGUAAUGGGGGUUCGACUCCCCCCGGGGUCACCA
rnacentral:tRNA from 1 species